rnacentral:lncRNA from 1 species
AUUUCUAGGCAUGAAUUUUAACUUGUAGAUGAGCUCUACUGCAGGAAUGAGAAAUGCAAGUGUUUUGCCACUGCCUGUUUUGGCAGCUGCUAAAAUAUCCCUCCCUUCCAGUAGAGGUUUAAUACUUUUAUGCUGGAUUUCUGUCAUGUGUGUAAAGCCCAUAUCACUGAUGCCUUUCAAUGUAUUCUCACUGACGAGACCAGCAAGGGAAGUAAAAGAAUUGUCUUCAAAGGCACCUGUCAGACCCAGAGGUAAACUGGGUACCUCGUCCUCCUCUUCCGCUUCUUUCUCUCCUGUAUCCUGCCCAUCUUCAUCUUCUGCCUCCACAGAUACGUCUUCUUCAGCUUUUGCUUUCUUAGUUUCUGUACCUCCCUCGGGGCCAGCAGCAGCUUUCCUUUUCUUCUUCUUCCUCCUCUUCGCCCCAACGGCCUCGGGGCCCGGCGCUGCCUGCUCGCCCGCCUCUGUCUCUGCCUCCGCCUCGGGGGCCGCCGCCUCCUUCACCUCCUCGUCCUCCUCCGGGGGACCGAGCGAGGCCUGGCCUUCCUGCUCGGCAGCCCGCAGCUUCAGGUUGCGCUGCCGCAGCUUCAGGUUCCUCUUGUGGAUCUUCUUGCGGAGCAGCCGCAUGGGCAGGUUGCCCGCGGCCACCGACACCGACAUCCCGGCGGCCCGCUCCUUGCCUCCCUCAAUCACACGUGGAGACGGCAGCGCCGGCCCAGCGACACGCAUCCGGGCCGCGCC